rnacentral:tRNA from 1 species
GGGCCUCUAGCUCAACUGGCAGAGCAGCGGACUUUUAAUCCGCGGGUUGUGGGUUCGAGCCCCACGGGGCCUA